rfam:Ornithorhynchus anatinus chromosome 3, whole genome shotgun sequence.
CCACUCUCGGGAUCGCAUCUGGAGAAUUUCCAGUACUCUACCAGUCUCGGCUAUGGGAGGGAGAGUCAAGCAGAAGUAUAUAUAUUCCAUUUCUAGUUUGGGCAGUGGCUAGCAAGUGGAAGGUAAUCUGCUACAGGU